rnacentral:rRNA from 1 species
AAGUUCCGGCGGUAUGGGAUGGACCCGCGGCCUAUCAGCUUGUUGGUGGGGUAAUGGCCUACCAAGGCGACGACGGGUAGCCGGCCUGAGAGGGUGACCGGCCACACUGGGACUGAGACACGGCCCAGACUCCUACGGGAGGCAGCAGUGGGGAAUAUUGCACAAUGGGCGAAAGCCUGAUGCAGCGACGCCGCGUGAGGGAUGACGGCCUUCGGGUUGUAAACCUCUUUCAGCAGGGACGAAGCGCAAGUGACGGUACCUGCAGAAGAAGCACCGGCUAACUACGUGCCAGCAGCCGCGGUAAUACGUAGGGUGCGAGCGUUGUCCGGAAUUAUUGGGCGUAAAGAGCUCGUAGGCGGUUUGUCGCGUCGGCCGUGAAAACUUGGGGCUUAACUCCAAGCUUGCGGUCGAUACGGGCAGACUUGAGUUCGGCAGGGGAGACUGGAAUUCCUGGUGUAGCGGUGAAAUGCGCAGAUAUCAGGAGGAACACCGGUGGCGAAGGCGGGUCUCUGGGCCGAUACUGACGCUGAGGAGCGAAAGCGUGGGGAGCGAACAGGAUUAGAUACCCUGGUAGUCCACGCCGUAAACGGUGGGUGCUAGGUGUGGGGGGCUUCCACGCCCUCUGUGCCGCAGCUAACGCAUUAAGCACCCCGCCUGGGGAGUACGGCCGCAAGGCUAAACUCAAAGGAAUUGACG